UUUCUGGUGAGCUUUCUAUACGAAGAGUGAAAUAUAUUGAUAUGAAACAGUAUACUGUACCCAGAUGACACUGCCUAACUUACUGAAAUAGUCUUUGGGGAUUUUACUGUGAUAUGCAAGAUACUAGCAUAUAGCAUACAGUAGACAGGGUUGUAAUUUGCAUAUUUACCGUACAGCGAUGUUCUCAGUAAGACAAAUGUAAUAUGGGUUGUGCUUGUCAAGAUCAUUGUGCUGUGUUCACGUAAACACCAGGAACUGGCCUUGAGGAGAACUGGAUAUGUGCGAGGCAGAGAAAUGAAAAUAAUAAGCUGAUUUACUCCAUCAUAAGAGAGUGUGUGGUUGUGCAUGCCUGGCAAAGCCCCUGGACUAAAGCGUGGGCAUAGUCUCCUGGAGCUACGGAUUUGGGAUUGAUUCUCUCCUCUCCUUCACGUUGAGCUCACGGAGAGAAAGCAUGGAUGAAAUUCACAACGGUCAUUUAUGAGACAGAAAAAGAUCCAUCACCCCAAGAAGCCCCAGUGCCUUCUGGGAUUGGGAUGGGCAUGACAUCACACUAAGUUUAACAGUUUCUAUAGUACAUACAUUAACAAGGCAUGAUCUUCAUUCAACCCAACACCUUGGAGAGCAGUCCAUGUUGUUGAAUUCUCCGAGGCUACCUGGAGCAACUUGAAGAAAAUCUCAUGACUGUUUUCUGCCUGUGGUGAGGUAUGGAAUCCAGGGAAGUACAAG